GGCGCCAUUUUGUGAGCGUCAGGGGUCUCAUGUCCCUCACAGUAUGGAAGCCGCGGCCUCAUUCCACUCCCGCCCGCAGAUUUCUUCUCUGAUUUCAAAGGUUGUUUGGUUUGGAUGUCACAUGGUGACUGACCAGCCCAGGGGAGCCAACAAAAAACUGCCUUGCUCUGUGCAUCUAGUGGAUGGCAUCUCCAAGAGGCACUGUUCGAUCUCGGUGACAUUGCGGCCUCUCCUAAGUCUUAUGGUACAUGGAAUCAUUCCUAUUAUUCCAUUCUGUGAAUCAUUCCUUUGCCUGCUCUCAGGUUCCUGCUUCUAACCUGAUACCCAGCAAGCUUCAGAGCCUUCAGAGCCCCCCUUUGUCCCUUCUAAACAGAACACAGGAAGACUGAAGUAUCAUAUUUAUUUACUCAGAAGAGGCAAAGAUGAUUGUUAUUUUGUAUGACAAUCAGAAAGUAACUAUUGACUGUGCCUUCAAAAGAUCUUGACAAAACUUACCCAACGUAUUUUCAGGAUUCAGUAAAUAUUU
rnacentral:lncRNA from 1 species